CCAGCGAAUCGGAUGCAACGCCACAUUCACCGAAGACGAUAAUCCCGAAGGUUCCUGUCAAUACCAUGAUUCGGUAUGCGUUACAUUGAAUUUGAUUGCGCUUCUUCUUUCUGUUUUUGUGAACCACUGAGAUUGUUUUCAAGCUUCAUACAGUUCAUAAUGGAUGAAUCGUGAGUUUUCUGUGUUUCAAUUAGGUUAAACAAGUACCAAUGGGGAUUCCUUAUGCUCUUUUAUUUAUUUAUUUAAAAUGAAGGACGUGAGCAGCUCACCCGAGCUACAUUUCUGUUUGAAAUGUUUGGCAUGAACUAUUAGUGUUAUUGGUGUAAUAGGACUGCCUUUGCUUCAAUCGCAAAUUUCUGUGGGAUUAAUCUUAUCGCCGGCUAUUAUUGUUCUUAAUUUUGGCAGUCCAUGUGACAAUUUCCACCUUCUAAUAAGUAAAGUUCAGUAGUAUCUAGUCUUUCAAUUGCCUUUUACUUAACGAGUAGAGAUCAAAUUUGACGGAUCUUUCUUUUGUAUCUUGCUGGUAGGCUUGCCAUAAUGGACUUGGUUCUUAAAAUUUGUAAUUGAUUGCAUUUUUUAGCAUACUAAGCUUCAAACAACUUCUGGCUAUUGAAAAUUUGAGAUAAUAUUUGUAAUCUCUGUUACUGAGUUCUCAAUUGUCGGCAUGUAAUUUAGGUUCCUCCUAAAUUACAAGGCAGGAAAAAGUUUGAUAAAUAUGGGGAUAUUUUAAAGCUUAGAUUUGCAAGAAACUCAUUCUGAAAGUGUCCAAUUUACCAAUUGUUUUAUUUUUGAUGAGUUUACCUGUUCUACAUAUCAUACAUUAUAAAGUAUAGCGUUGUAGUUGAUGGUUCUGUCUUUUACUUAGAUAUAGGUUUCCAGCAACAUCAAGUGAAUUUCCCUUCUUUUUGUUUUUUAAGUUUUCAAAUUUUAUUUUUAUGCGAUCAUUAAUUCUGCUGAUCAUAGAAGCAAUUACUGGUACUACCCUUUUAUUUACUUUUGUAAUUAAAUACUGAGAUAUGAGGUAUUUUGUGGAUUAUGCUAAUUGGCUUUUUUUUUGUUACUUUACAUGGUUGAAUGGUGUAUCACUGCAAAUGUGCAUAUGUAUUGUCAGGGACCUAUAUUUCGUGAUGGAAU
rnacentral:misc_RNA from 1 species